rnacentral:rRNA from 1 species
AGCGAACGCUGGCGGCAGGCCUAACACAUGCAAGUCGAACGAACUCUUCGGAGUUAGUGGCGGACGGGUGAGUAACACGUGGGAACGUGCCUUUAGGUUCGGAAUAACUCAGAGAAACUUGUGCUAAUACCGAAUGUGCCCUUCGGGGGAAAGAUUUAUCGCCUUUAGAGCGGCCCGCGUCUGAUUAGCUAGUUGGUGAGGUAAAGGCUCACCAAGGCGACGAUCAGUAGCUGGUCUGAGAGGAUGAUCAGCCACAUUGGGACUGAGACACGGCCCAAACUCCUACGGGAGGCAGCAGUGGGGAAUCUUGCGCAAUGGGCGAAAGCCUGACGCAGCCAUGCCGCGUGAAUGAUGAAGGUCUUAGGAUUGUAAAAUUCUUUCACCGGGGACGAUAAUGACGGUACCCGGAGAAGAAGCCCCGGCUAACUUCGUG